rnacentral:rRNA from 1 species
CACGUAGUUAGCCGUGGCUUAUUCCUGGGGUACCGUCAUUUGUUCGUCCCCCAGAAAAGAAGUUUACAACCCGAAAGCCUUCUUCCUUCACGCGGCGUUGCUGGGUCGGGCUUGCGCCCAUUGCCCAAUAUUCCCCACUGCUGCCUCCCGUAGGAGUCUGGGCCGUGUCUCAGUCCCAAUGUGGCCGGCCAACCUCUCAGUCCGGCUACUGAUCGUCGCCUUGGUGGGCCGUUACCCCGCCAACCAGCUAAUCAGACGCGAGCUCAUCUCAGAGCGAUAAAUCUUUGACAGUCAGAGAGAUGCCUCCCAACUGUAUCAUGCGGUAUUAGCGGCUGUUUCCAGCCGUUAUUCCCCACUCCAAGGCAGAUUGCUCACGCGUUACUCACCCGUCGCCACUUUCCUCAGUUUCAUUUUGGACGAAUCCUCAAUCCACUGAUUCUCGUUCGACUUGCAUGUGUUAAGCACGCCGCAGCGUUCAUCCUGAGCCAGGAUCAAACUU